UACGGAGGGUGCAAGCGUUGCUCGGAAUUAUUGGGCGUAAAGGGUAGGUAGGUGGUCUCAUUUGUCUGGGGUGAAAGCCUUGAGCUUAACUCAAGAAGUGCCCCGGAAACGGUGAGACUCGAGUUCUGGAGAGGGUCGUGGAAUUCCCGGUGUAGCGGUGAAAUGCGUAGAGAUCGGGAGGAACACCAGAGGCGAAGGCGGCGACCUGGACAGAUACUGACACUCAACUACGAAAGCGUGGGGAGCAAACAGG
rnacentral:rRNA from 1 species